AUUGAACGCUGGCGGCAUGCCUUACACAUGCAAGUCGAACGGCAGCGCGGGGCAACCUGGCGGCGAGUGGCGAACGGGUGAGUAAUAUAUCGGAACGUACCCUGGAGUGGGGGAUAACGUAGCGAAAGUUACGCUAAUACCGCAUACGAUCUAAGGAUGAAAGCAGGGGACCGCAAGGCCUUGUGCUCCUGGAGCGGCCGAUAUCUGAUUAGCUAGUUGGUGGGGUAAAGGCCACCAAGGCAUCGAUCAGUAGCUGGUCUGAGAGGACGGACCAGCCACACUGGAACUGAGACACGGUCCAGACUCCUACGGGAGGCAGCAGUGGGGAAUUUUGGACAAUGGGCGCAAGCCUGAUCCAGCAAUGCCGCGUGAGUGAAGAAGG
rnacentral:rRNA from 1 species